rnacentral:rRNA from 1 species
UGCGUAGGCGGAUAGAUAAGUCAGAGGUGAAAGCCUCCCGCUCAACGGGAGAACUGCCUUUGAUACUGUUUAUCUUGAAUGAGGUUGAGGUUAGCGGAAUGUGACAUGUAGCGGUGAAAUGCAUAGAUAUGUCAUAGAACACCAAUUGCGUAGGCAGCUAGCUAGGCCUUUAUUGACGCUGAGGCACGAAAGCAUGGGGAGCGAACAGGAUUAGAUACCCUGGUAGUC